rnacentral:rRNA from 1 species
UACGGGGGAUCCAAGCGUUAUCCGGAUUUAUUGGGCUUAAAGGGCGCGUAGGCGGAUUAUUAAGUCAGUGGUGAAAGCCUGCAGCUUAACUGCAGAACUGCCAUUGAUACUGAUGAUCUUGAGUACAGUUGAGGUGGGCGGAAUGUGUCAUGUAGCGGUGAAAUGCAUAGAUAUGACACAGAACACCUAUUGCGAAGGCAGCUCGCUAAACUGUAACUGACGCUGAGGCACGAAAGCGUGGGGAUCAAACAGG